AGACCUGCAGACAGUAGAUCUUAUUGGCCCUGACUCAGUACAUGAAAGGAUGACUUGGCUUGCUGACCUCCAGCAUCCUAUUUCUUGCAGUAGUGAGAAAGGUCUUUGCAUUUGAAAGAACUCUGUGCUUACAUAGAACACAUAUGACAAGGUCCAGCCGCAGUUUAUAAAUCUGUCAGUGCUGCAUAAUAGAGACUGUCUUAUUUCCAUCUGCCAAGACUUGAGCAGGGCUGUGCAUGAAUUGAGGUGUUACUCAAUGUAUUUGGAAAACUUUAAACUGAAAUAUUGAAAUGGAAUUUAGCAAAAUUUGAACAGCUGAGCAGGAUCACAGCUUUAGCCUUGGGUGUCUGUGUGUUCUGUGCAAGUCCCAGUUUUGCUGCUGGUUCAUUUGAACAUCCAUUCUCCAAAUCAAGCUCACAAAGUUUGACGCAACAAUCAAACUAACAGCUCAAUGAACAACUGUAAGUGGAACCUGUCAAACAACAGCUAUAUGUACCUUUCUACAGGUAUUUAAAAAAAUCAAAACUUGAGAAGAAGUUCCUUCCCUGAUAUCUUCCCAUUAAAGGUCUGGAUC